rnacentral:rRNA from 1 species
GAUGAACGCUGGCGGCGUGCCUAAUACAUGCAAGUCGAGCGAACUGAUUAGAAGCUUGCUUCUAUGACGUUAGCGGCGGACGGGUGAGUAACACGUGGGUAACCUGCCUGUAAGACUGGGAUAACUUCGGGAAACCGAAGCUAAUACCGGAUAGGAUCUUCUCCUUCAUGGGAGAUGAUUGAAAGAUGGUUUCGGCUAUCACUUACAGAUGGGCCCGCGGUGCAUUAGCUAGUUGGUGAGGUAAAGGCUCACCAAGGCAACGAUGCAUAGCCGACCUGAGAGGGUGAUCGGCCACACUGGGACUGAGACACGGCCCAGACUCCUACGGGAGGCAGCAGUAGGGAAUCUUCCGCAAUGGACGAAAGUCUGACGGAGCAACGCCGCGUGAGUGAUGAAGGCUUUCGGGACGUAAAACUCUGUUGUUAGGGAAGAACAAGUACAAGAGUAACUGCUUGUACCUUGACGGUACCUAACCAGAAAGCCACGGCUAACUACGUGCCAGCCGCCGCCGUAAGAC